GUUUUCUUAACUUUAGAAAACUAAUAGUUAUUUGCAACCCAAUCUAAACCAUUGUACAGGAUAGUAAUCUACGCGUAUGUUUCUCUGCACUGAACUUGGCUAUACUAUUUUCCUACUCUUAUUUUAAUGUGUCCUAACUUCCCCAGUGUUUUUCUAACUCUCUUAUUGCAGGUAUUAUUGCCAGACAUUUCAAAAGUUUUCGGGUAAGCCACAAAGGAAGGAAUAAAAGGACUGAAUAUGUAACAUGUCUAAAGAAAGAAGAGCGAAAAAAGGGCAAGCAGUUAAUGCUGGAAAAUGAAAAUUAGUCAAUUUAUCACUAAGCACUAGAUGGACGGGCUCUCAGAUGUACUUUGGCCUCCUGGACAGAUACACCUUAUCCAUGAAGGUCCAUGUUGGAACCAAAAGUCAACAUAUCUGCCCACCCCCUACACACCCAACACACAUGGGUGGAGCAGAGACAGGAGAACACAAGGAAGAAUUCAAUCUCCUUUACUUACUUAUUUAUUUACUUACUGGAAAGAGAUGAAUGGGAGACACUGGUCCACAGCAGUGAUGAAAUCCUGCCAGGAAGGCAUGAAGACCUCCUGCCCAAGUCAUAUGGGUUGUUGACAGAUGAGGGCAACUUCUGAAUCGUGCCCUUAAAGCAGCCCUUCUAGUGGAAUUCGUGUGUGAAGCCAGGAGUUGGUACAACCACCCUGGACUCGUUGAAGAAGCUGUACAGUAAGAACAGUAGAGCUGUAAGACAGAAGUGUAGGUCCUUGAUGUCUUCAAGCAGAACAAACAGCUCGGACAUGAUAAAUAAUUUUGUCUAAUUUUAACCAUCGUCAUUUUGGGAUUACUACCACAGCAGCUGAUAACCUAAUACAUAAUUUGUACCUAAAAGUGAGAUGCUACUGGAUGGAAUAAUACGUGUAACAGGAGGCACUGGCAGUCAGGCAACAGGUGGUGAGGAUACUGUGGACAGGAACGGUGGUGACUCAUGCUACGGCAAAACAUCUGAUAAAACUAUCAUCAUAUGAUACUUAAGGUGCAGACCACGUGCUUAUAGAGCCUAUAGCUGUAAGGCAGUGUUUCUUAACAUAGGUCCUCUUGGCAUUUGGGGUAGAAUAACUUUUUGCUGGUCAAGAACACC